rnacentral:rRNA from 1 species
UCAUGUUGACGUAGCUGCAUGUGAAUGACUGAUGUUGUCAGAGCUCAGAGGAGAAGCGGGUCGGGCCUGGCCAGUACUUGGAUGGGAGACCACUGGGGCUAGAGUGGGUCAGCAGAG